GUGCUUGCUUCGGCAGCACAUAUACUAAAAUUGGAACAAUACAGAGAAAAUUAGCAUGGCCUCUGCACCACGGGCAAAUUUGUGAAGUGUUCCAUAUUUUU
rnacentral:snRNA from 1 species